AGAUUAAGUUAUUAAGGGCGCACGGUGGAUGCCUUGGCACUAGAAGCCGAUGAAAGGACGUUACUAACGACGAUA
rnacentral:rRNA from 1 species